GAUGAACGCUAGCUACAGGCUUAACACAUGCAAGUCGAGGGACCGGCGCACGGGUGAGUAACACGUAUCCAACCUGCCCUUUACUCGGGGAUAGCCUUUCGAAAGAAAAAUUAAUAACAGAACUAAAGGAUAGGGAUGCGUUCGAUUAGGUUGUUGGUGCGGUAGCGGCUCACAAAGCCUGCGAUGGAUAGGGGUUCUGAGCGGAAGUUCACCCACAUUGGAACUGAGACCCGGUCCAAACUCCUACGGGAUGCAGAAGUGAGGAAUAUUUGUCAAUGGGCGCUAGCCUGAACCAGCCAAGUAGCGUGAAGGAUGAAGGCUUAUGGGUCGUCAACUUCUUUUAUAUAAGAAUAUGUAUUAUAUGAAUAAGGAUAGGCUAACUCCGUGCCAGCAGCCGCGGUAAUAC
rnacentral:rRNA from 1 species